rnacentral:lncRNA from 1 species
CUUUUCGAGGUAGGAGUCGACUCCUGUGAGGUAUGGUGCUGGGUGCAGAUGCAGUGUGGCUCUGGAUAGCACCUUAUGGACAGUUGUGUCCCCAAGGAAGGAUGAGAAUAGCUACUGAAGUCCUAAAGAGCAAGCCUAACUCAAGCCAUUGGCACACAGGCAUUAGACAGAAAGCUGGAAGUUGAAAUGGUGGAGUCCAACUUGCCUGGACCAGCUUAAUGGUUCUGCUCCUGGUAACGUUUUUAUCCAUGGAUGACUUGCUUGGGUAAGGACAUGAAGACAGUUCCUGUCAUACCUUUUAAAGGGUUUUUAAUGACCACAACAAGCAAGCAUGCAGCUUACUGCUUGAAAGGGUCUUGCCUCACCCAAGCUAGAGUGCAGUGGCCUUUGAAGCUUACUACAGCCUCAAACUUCUGGGCUCAAGUGAUCCUCAGCCUCCCAGUGGUCUUUGUAGACUGCCUGAUGGAGUCUCAUGGCACAAGAAGAUUAAAACAGUGUCUCCAAUUUUAAUAAAUUUUUGCAAUCCA